rnacentral:rRNA from 1 species
AUACGUAGGUGGCAAGCGUUGUCCGGAAUUAUUGGGCGUAAAGCGCGCGCAGGCGGCCUUUUAAGUCUGAUGUGAAAGCCCACGGCUCAACCGUGGAGGGUCAUUGGAAACUGGGAAACUUGAGUGCAGAAGAGGAGAGUGGAAUUCCACGUGUAGCGGUGAAAUGUGUAGAGAUGUGGAGGAACACCAGUGGCGAAGGCGACUCUCUGGUCUGUAACUGACGCUGAGGAGCGAAAGCGUGGGGAGCGAACAGGAUUAGAUACCCUGGUAGUCCACGCCGUAAACGAUGAGUGCUAAGUGUUAGGGGGUUUCCGCCCCUUAGUGCUGCAGCUAACGCAUUAAGCACUCCGCCUGGGGAGUACGGCCGCAAGGCUGAA